rnacentral:rRNA from 1 species
CACUGUACAAUGGAUUUCUCGGCUCCCACAUCGAUGAAGAACGCAGCAAAGCGCGAUAGGUAGUGUGAAUUGCAGAAUACCGUGAAUCAUCGAAUUUUUGAACGCAUAUUGCGCCCGGGUUUGAGCCUGGGCAUGUCUGCCUCAGCGUCGAUUUCCU